rnacentral:rRNA from 1 species
GGCGAACGCUGGCGGCGUGCUUAACACAUGCAAGUCGAACGGAAAGGCCCUGCUUUUGUGGGGUGCUCGAGUGGCGAACGGGUGAGUAACACGUGAGUAACCUGCCCUUGACUUUGGGAUAACUUCAGGAAACUGGGGCUAAUACCGGAUAGGAGCUCCUGCUGCAUGGUGGGGGUUGGAAAGUUUCGGCGGUUGGGGAUGGACUCGCGGCUUAUCAGCUUGUUGGUGGGGUAGUGGCUUACCAAGGCUUUGACGGGUAGCCGGCCUGAGAGGGUGACCGGCCACAUUGGGACUGAGAUACGGCCCAGACUCCUACGGGAGGCAGCAGUGGGGAAUAUUGCACAAUAGGCGGAAGCCUGAUGCAGCAACGCCGCGUGCGGGAUGACGGCCUUCGGGUUGUAAACCGCUUUCGCCUGUGACGAAGCGUGAGUGACGGUAAUGGGUAAAGAAGCACCGGCUAACUACGUG